AUUUGAACGCCAGUCGGUUGGUGUGUGAGCUGAGGAGGACAUCGCGGGAACACUUUUUCCGAUUUCAAACGUUAAAAUGGCUUCAAAUUUUCCGGAACAAAUCAAAACGGCUGCAGCAGAAGAGGUGACUGACCCCGCGGCCCAUGAGGUGUGAAAGCGAGAAUGAUUAGUGCCAGUCUUCAGAAUGACGAAGUGGCAGUGCCCAGUUUAAGCAGGGUCAUGGAACAACUCUUCCCUCCGUGAAAAAACUUCCAGACGAAAAAUAACUCUGGGCCAAGUCUCAGUGGAACCAUACCUUAACCCAACGUCACCAACCAAAAGGGACGGAC